rnacentral:rRNA from 1 species
UAUCCGGAUUCACUGGGUUUAAAGGGUGCGUAGGCGGGUAAGUAAGUCCGUGGUGAAAUCUCUGAGCUUAACUCAGAAACUGCCGUGGAUACUAUUUGCCUUGAAUAUUGUGGAGGUGAGCGGAAUAUGUCAUGUAGCGGUGAAAUGCUUAGAUAUGACAUAGAACACCAAUUGCGAAGGCAGCUCACUACACAAUCAUUGACGCUGAGGCACGAAAGCGUGGGGAUCAAACAGG